rnacentral:rRNA from 1 species
GCAGUCGCCGCGGUAAUACGGAGGGAGCUAGCGUUGUUCGGAAUUACUGGGCGUAAAGCGCGCGUAGGCGGUUACUCAAGUCAGAGGUGAAAGCCCGGGGCUCAACCCCGGAACUGCCUUUGAAACUAGGUGACUAGAAUCUUGGAGAGGUCAGUGGAAUUCCGAGUGUAGAGGUGAAAUUCGUAGAUAUUCGGAAGAACACCAGUGGCGAAGGCGACUGACUGGACAAGUAUUGACGCUGAGGUGCGAAAGCGUGGGGAGCAAACAGGAUUAGAGACCCCCGUAGUCCUGUCUCUUAUACA